UCAUGCACUCGAGUUGCAGAGUGCAAUCCGGACUACGAUCGGUUUUCUGGGAUUAGCUCCCCCUCGCGGGUUGGCAACCCUCUGUUCCGACCAUUGUAUGACGUGUGAAGCCCUACCCAUAAGGGCCAUGAGGACUUGACGUCAUCCCCACCUUCCUCCGGUUUGUCACCGGCAGUCUCCUUAGAGUGCUCUUGCGUAGCAACUAAGGACAAGGGUUGCGCUCGUUGCGGGACUUAACCCAACAUCUCACGACACGAGCUGACGACAGCCAUGCAGCACCUGUGCGCCGGUUCUCUUUCGAGCACUCCCGCCUCUCAGCAGGAUUCCGACCAUGUCAAGGGUAGGUAAGGUUUUUCGCGUUGCAUCGAAUUAAUCCACAUCAUCCACCGCUUGUGCGGGUCCCCGUCAAUUCCUUUGAGUUUUAAUCUUGCGACCGUACUCCCCAGGCGGUCAACUUCACGCGUUAGCUACGUUACUAAGGAAAUGAAUCCCCAACAACUAGUUGACAUCGUUUAGGGCGUGGACUACCAGGGUAUCUAAUCCUGUUUGCUCCCCACGCUUUCGUGCAUGAGCGUCAGUAUUGGCCCAGGGGGCUGCCUUCGCCAUCGGUAUUCCUCCACAUCUCUACGCAUUUCACUGCUACACGUGGAAUUCUACCCCCCUCUGCCAUACUCUAGCCUGCCAGUCACCAAUGCAGUUCCCAGGUUGAGCCCGGGGAUUUCACAUCGGUCUUAGCAAACCGCCUGCGCACGCUUUACGCCCAGUAAUUCCGAUAAACGCUGCACCCUACGUAUUACCGCGGCUGCUGGCACGUAGUAGCCGUGCUUAUUCUUCCGGUACCGUCAUCCCCCGACUGUAUAGAGCAUGAUUUCUUUCAUGACAAAGUGCUUACACCCGAAGCUCUCACACACGCGGCAUGCUGGAUCAGCCUUCGCCAUGUCCAAAUC
rnacentral:rRNA from 1 species